rnacentral:rRNA from 1 species
ACUCGAGUGGCGAACGGGUGAGUAACACGUGGGUGAUCUGCCCUGCACUUCGGGAUAAGCUUGGGAAACUGGGUCUAAUACCGGAUAGGACAAUGCUUUAGUGUGUGUGGUGGAAAGUUUUUCGGUGUAGGAUGAGCCCGCGGCCUAUCAGCUUGUUGGUGGGGUAAUGGCCUACCAAGGCGGCGACGGGUAGCCGGACUGAGAGGUUGGUCGGCCACAUUGGGACUGAGAUACGGCCCAG